UCUGGAUCCUUUAACCCACAGCGCUGGAUCAGGGAUCAAACCACUGCAGUCAGAUUCUUAACCACAGUGCCACAGCGGGAACUCCUAAGCAGGUGACUCUGAAUGAAUGCAGCCUAUUCACCCAUGAGCCAUCAGUUUCAGUUCCUUCUGCAUCCUCCCUGUCUCAGAGUGAAGCCCACGGUCCCAGGAGGAAGUUCCGAAGAUGUUCUAGUCCUAACCCUGGACAUGGCCAGGCGCCAGGCCAUCCCAGCACAGGAUGCAGCAGCCAGGUGCCUUAGGGGACACCUGUUCUCCAGGUCUCCAUUGGUAAGACAAUGGCAGCAAGUCCCACUGCUGUCAAACACAGGGUCACCUGACAGUUAG
rnacentral:lncRNA from 1 species